AUUGAACGCUGGCGGCAGGCUUAACACAUGCAAGUCGAACGAGUGGCGGACGGGUGAGUAAUGCUUGGGAAUCUGGCUUAUGGAGGGGGAUAACGACGGGAAACUGUCGCUAAUACCGCGUACCAUAGGAUGGACCCGCGGUGCAUUAGCUAGUUGGUGAGGUAACGGCUCACCAAGGCCACGAUGCAUAGCCGACCUGAGAGGGUGAUCGGCCACACUGGGACUGAGACACGGCCCAGACUCCGACGGGAGGCAGCAGUGGGGAAUUUUGGACAAGGGGCGCAAGCCUGAUCCAGCCAUGCCGCGUGUCUGAAGAAGGCCUUCGGGUUGUAAAGGACUUUUGUCAGGGAAGCGGUACCUGAAGAAUAAGCACCGGCUAACUACGUGCCAGCAGCCGCGGUAAUAC
rnacentral:rRNA from 1 species